UGCAUAGAUAGAGACAUGUCUUAUCCCACUGAUCUACUGCUGCUGCUGCUACUGGGGAUCCUCCUGAUCUUUAUCCAGGGUUCCUAUGGGCAGAUUGUACUGACUCAGUCUCCAGAUUAUGUCUCUGUGUCACCGGGAGAAACUGUCACCAUCACAUGUAAAGCCAGUAGCAGUGUUAGCAUCAAUCUCAACUGGUACCAACAGAAAUCAGGGCAGGCACCAAAGCUGCUGAUCUAUUUGGCAAACAGGCGACACACAGGGACCCCAGAGCGUUUCAGCGGCAGUGGGUCUGGAACAGAUUACUCUCUUACAAUCAGCAGAAUGGAAGCAGAAGAUGCAGCAGAUUAUUACUGUCAGCAGGGUUACAGUUCCCCGUUCACUUUUGGUAAAGGAACCAGGGUAGAGCUUAAACGAAACGAUGCCAAACCGGCAGUAUUCAUCUUCAAACCUUCAGACGAACAGGUUAAGGAAGGAAACCCAACAGCAGUCUGUUUGAUAAACAACUUCUUUCCAAGGGAUUUGACAGUCACGUGGAAGGUUGACAGUCAGGAUGUCAGUUCCUCCGACGUUAAGACCAGUGAUUUUAUGCAGGAAAGUGAUAGCACGUACAGCCAAAGCAGCAUGUUGACACUUACCAAGGACAAGUGGGAUAAAGCUGAUAAAUUUGAGUGUUUAGUUAAACACAAAACAGCACAACUGACACAGAGCUUUAGUAAAUCACAGUGCUCAUAAUAAUAGGGCUUAGGAAGCCUAAUGUAACCCUAUUUUAACUUUUUUUUUUUGUCUUCUCUUGCAAUAUUAAUCUUUCUGUGCCACAAUGUCUUGCAUCACGAUGCAACGCAAUCCUCGAGAACUUAGAGGUUUAAUAUAUGCACAUAAAUGAAACGUUUGUGAUUGUGUUACUCAUGGAUGUCACUUUUUACAAUAGUCCAAUUGUAUGGAAGGCUUUUGGACAUGAUUCGUUUUCUGCUUUUGUCUUGAAAUGUUAAAAAAUAAAUAAAAAAUCAUUUUGCUUCAAAAAUA